rnacentral:tmRNA from 1 species
GGGGCUGAUUCUGGAUUCGACGGGAUUAGCGAAGCCCAAGGUGCACGUCGAGGUGCGGUAGGCCUCGUAAAUAAACCGCAAAAAAAUAGUCGCAAACGACGAACAAUACGCUUUAGCAGCUUAAUAACCUGCUCAUAGCCUUCGCUCCCCAGCUUCCGCUCGUAAGACGGGGAUAAAGCGGAGUCAAACCAAAACGAGAUCGUGUGGAAGCCCGCAUGCUUAAGUGAAAUUAAAGACGAGACUAAACGUGUAGUACUGAAGGUAGAGUAAUUUCGGACGCGGGUUCAACUCCCGCCAGCUCCACCA